rnacentral:lncRNA from 10 species
GUUAGGGCCUGAACUUCAGCUCUCAAAAACCUCUUAGCUUCAAGUUUGUUCUCAUAGUCAUUAAUGGACUCUGCAGGGCAGUGCCGUAUUGUGGGGUGGGGGUGGGGGAGGAAUUAGUGUGAUUUUUUUCAGGCAGAGAGAGCCCCUCCAUUAGUCACACAGACCACUGAGACCCUGCCCGCCCAUAAGAGUCAUAAAGCUGUUUGCACCAUGUCACAUGUAAAAUGACCAUCAUCAACACCAAAGCAGGAAAAGGGGUGAAGCCAAAAGCUGAGCAGGUUGGACUGGUUAUGUGGCUGAUACAUAGUGUCUUGCCGCUGCCAAGAUUUUCAUCCCAGCUCCUUGAUGCUCUGCCAAGAUUUCAAGGUGAAGAUCCCAGCGGAGGAAUGAGGAACUCUGCACGAUAAGUUGGAGCAUGCCUGCAGAGGCCACAGGCAGUGCGGCCAUACCCGCAAGGCUGAGUUGGCAGUUUUGGGGUGCAAGAACAAACCUCAACUUCUAGCCUGCAGGACUAGCCCAGGCUGGAGAAUCUGAAAGCCAUGCUGGGAGAGAUCUAACCCAGAGGCCUUUGAUAUUGGCUUCUAGUCAAGUUCAAGUCCAGUACUUUCUCCUCCAUUCACUGCAGUAGUUCCUGAGGUCUGGCUUCCAUCAUGAGAUGGGGAGUGACCAAAGAAAAUGGCAUCUAUACUGGCCUCCUGGGGGCUGCCACCUGCAGCAAUCUCCCCUAGACACAAAUGUGUAGGGCGCGUGCAGCUUCUCAAUCUUCAGACAUACCUCCAGGGCAAAGGAAGGGAAAGAAAAAGGAAUGUCUUUCCUAGUCAAGGAAGUAGAAGUAGAGGGUUUUGUGUGUGUGUGCUUCCUUUUUUAAAUCUUCAUUGAUUCAUGUAAUGAAAAGCAAAGGAGUCUCUAGCCCAGAGGUUCUCAACUACAGGCAAAUUUGUCCCUCAGGGCCAUCUGGCAAUAUCUGGAGACAUUUUUGAUUGAUGAAAGUGGAUACGGCAUGUUAUGAAUCCAGUCGGUAGAGGUCAGGGAGGCUACUGAACAUCCAAAAUGGGCCAGGUGCAGUGGCUCACACCUGUAAUCCCAGCACUUUGGGGGAGGCUGAGGCGGGAGGAUCACUUGAGGCCAGGAUUUCAAGAACAGCCGGAGCCACACAGCAAGACCCUAUUUCUACAAAAAAAAAAUAAAAAUAAAAAUAAA